rnacentral:tRNA from 3 species
GGUCGAGUGGUGUAGUGGUUUAUCACGUCUGCCUCACAACGUAUAUGCAAUAGCAAAUACUUGGACGCAGAAGGUCCCGAGUUCAAUCCUCGGUUCGACCU